AGAAUCAACGCUGGCGGCGUGCCUAACACAUGCAAGUCGAACGCGGUUAUCACUGCUCCGUAAGGAAUGGUGGUGACUGAGUGGCGAACGGGUGAGUAACACGUGGGUGAUCUACCUCUGAGUGGGGGAUACGUCCGAAAGGACGCUGAUACCGCAUGACGUUCCGGGUUUGAAGACCGGGAAACCAAAGUCGGGGACCGCAAGGCCUGACGCUUGGAGAGGAGCCCGCGCCUGAUUAGCUAGUUGGUGAGGUAACGGCUCACCAAGGCGACGAUCAGUAGCC
rnacentral:rRNA from 1 species